GACGGAGGGUGCAAGCGUUGUUCGGAAUUACUGGGCGUAAAGAGCGUGUAGGCGGUUUGAUAAGUCGAGUGUGAAAGCCCGAGGCUCAACUUCGGAAGUGCACUCGAAACUGUCAGGCUUGAGUACGGGAGAGGGAAGUGGAAUUCCUGGUGUAGAGGUGAAAUUCGUAGAUAUCAGGAGGAACACCGGUGGCGAAGGCGGCUUCCUGGACCGAUACUGACGCUGAGACGCGAAAGCGUGGGGAGCAAACAGG
rnacentral:rRNA from 1 species